GCUGGCGGCGUGCUUAACACAUGCAAGUCGAACGGAAAGGCCCUGCUUUUGUGGGGUGCUCGAGUGGCGAACGGGUGAGUAACACGUGAGUAACCUGCCCUUGACUUUGGGAUAACUUCAGGAAACUGGGGCUAAUACCGGAUAGGAGCUCCUGCUGCAUGGUGGGGGUUGGAAAGUUUCGGCGGUUGGGGAUGGACUCGCGGCUUAUCAGCUUGUUGGUGGGGUAGUGGCUUACCAAGGCUUUGACGGGUAGCCGGCCUGAGAGGGUGACCGGCCACAUUGGGACUGAGAUACGGCCCAGACUCCUACGGGAGGCAGCAGUGGGGAAUAUUGCACAAUGGGCGGAAGCCUGAUGCAGCAACGCCGCGUGCGGGAUGACGGCCUUCGGGUUGUAAACCGCUUUCGCCUGUGACGAAGCGUGAGUGACGGUAAUGGGUAAAGAAGCACCGGCUAACUACGUGCCAGCAGCCGCGGUGAUACGUAGGGUGCGAGCGUUGUCCGGAUUUAUUGGGCGUAAAGGGCUCGUAGGUGGUUGAUCGCGUCGGAAGUGUAAUCUUGGGGCUUAACCCUGAGCGUGCUUUCGAUACGGGUUGACUUGAGGAAGGUAGGGGAGAAUGGAAUUCCUGGUGGAGCGGUGGAAUGCGCAGAUAUCAGGAGGAACACCAGUGGCGAAGGCGGUUCUCUGGGCCUUUCCUGACGCUGAGGAGCGAAAGCGUGGGGAGCGAACAGGCUUAGAUACCCUGGUAGUCCACGCUGUAAACGGUGGGUACUAGGUGUGGGGUCCAUUCCACGGGUUCCGUGCCGUAGCUAACGCUUUAAGUACCCCGCCUGGGGAGUACGGCCGCAAGGCUA
rnacentral:rRNA from 1 species